rnacentral:tRNA from 1 species
GGCGGUGUAGCUCAGUUGGUUAGAGCAGAGGAAUCAUAAUCCUCGUGUCGGGGGUUCGAGUCCCUCCACCGCUACCA